GCGGGUGUAGCUCAAUGGUAGAGCGCUUGCUUCCCAAGCAAGAUACGCGGGUUCGAUUCCCGUCACCCGCUCCA
rnacentral:tRNA from 1 species